rnacentral:rRNA from 1 species
UACGUAGGGGGCAAGCGUUGUCCGGAUUUAUUGGGCGUAAAGAGCUCGUAGGCGGUUCGGCAAGUCGGAUGUGAAAUCUCCACGCUUAACGUGGAGGGGCCAUUCGAAACUGCUGUGACUCGAGUCCGGUAGGGGAGUGUGGAAUUCCCGGUGUAGCGGUGAAAUGCGCAGAUAUCGGGAGGAACACCUGUGGCGAAAGCGGCUCACUGGACCACAACUGACGCUGAUGCGCGAAAGCUAGGGGAGCAAACAGG